UUGGACGGAAGCAGCGGCGGCGUGACAAAGAAAAGAAGGAAGCGGCGGCGGCGUGACGCAGUCCGGAUCUCAAAGGACACGAGCCGGCCGGCUUGGUUACGAGGCUCAGGGCUUCUCGCCGCCACCGCCGCCCCCUGAUGUAGUACAUGGCGUACGGGUGGUUGCAAUCUGCUAUGCUCCAGUGAUUCCCGUGAUUCCGACGGCGUGGUCCUCUGCAUCCUCGGUCGUCUCCUCCUGAACAUCUGCCCAUCUCGCUUCACCAGGCCACGCCCGCAGCAAGCGGCACGCCAAGGCAGCCUUGAUCCUUCUUUCUUGUGGCCAAGGGAGUAAUCCAUGCCGGGGAGCAACAUGCACCAAUGAAGUUCCUGCAGAGCAGAGCACGGAGACCAUGGUGGCCGUCACGGUCGCCGUGACCGCUGGCGCCGGAUUUCUUCCUCCGGCAGAAAAAAAAAAGGUUCGCGCGCGCCAACUCAUACAGAUAGUGUGCGGGUUCUUUGGAUCGAGUACAGAGUUGGGAAAUUUGUUGUGGAUUUUGUGAGAUUGAUAUACCUAAGGUGUAGCCAUCUGCGUCUUUGAUUAUCCAUGAAGCUGCUCAAUAUAGAUGUGUUUUUUUGUCUGGAUACAUGCACCAGUUCCGCUCAGCACUGAUUCAUAUACUUUCGAGGUAAUUUAGGUGAACCUGGGUGAUUAAAUUUUGUCGUACUUCCAUGCUUGGUGGCACCAGAUCAAUUCAUCUCUACCACAUGACCUGAUGCUCUGUAUUUUUUGGGACUUAUUUGUCUUCUAGAAGAAGCUAGCUUUGAUGGAUUUAGGUGUGAUUUAUCUAGAAAAGGAAAACUGUACGAGGCAAGCCAAUGGCAAGAAAGACAAACAGGAUGAUGCCGGACUGUUGGAAGCUGACAUGCUGGAUCCAUGGUGGGCUGGUGCUUUGCAGAUGAACCGACUAAGAGAUUUGUGCGCUCGCCCAACAAGAAGGGACAUGUCGUCGACCUCUGCGAGCAAGCGAUGGUGGUGAGAGUCUGCAAUAGAGAACGGACUUGAAAACGGCGUCCACAGAUUGCAUUGUCAGAGGCGGUACCUUGUAGAGGCAAGGCCUAUGGGGCGGCAUCUAGGCCCCGAUGACGGCAACGAGAAGGUGUACAUUAGGUACAAAGCUACACAACCCGAGCACAGGAAACCAUACUCAUCCGCAACCCUCGCUGACCAACAGGUUGUUCUUCCGGUGCAAAAGCACUAGAGUCGAGUUAUGUCACCACCAUGAUGAUGAACGGCGACCCGUCUUUGAAAAUCAAACGAGCGGAAGCAGAAUGCCUUUUUUUAUACCGUUAUAGAGAUAUGUGAAGCAGAGCAGAUCAAUCGACAACAUAAAACAAGAUGUAGUGUGCAUCAUGGGCUGUGGGGAUUGUGUGGUUAAUCGGCUGUCGAAGCGACGAAGACGGAGUAUGCAUGUGAGCGUCAAUGGUAACGUAGAUCAGAUAAGAACGGGCUAUAUCUUGGCUUGGAGCUUCUCCCAUACAAUUGCGUCGUCUAGAGGAGUGGGUAAUUAGCUGCUUCUCUCCGUUCUUGGUUUUUCCAUAAAUCAAAACCUUGGCACAAUGCAUUGACACCAUAUCACCAUGAAAUCAUGAAGGUCAUCUGUAGAACUGUAGAUACAGCAGCCAUCAUACAGGAGGGGACCAACGAUGGUUUAGAGCAAAUAUGCAAUUUGCACAGGCUGGAUGUUUCCGGUUUACCUAUAAAUAGAUAAACACAUUUAUGCGCCUUAUUAUAUAAGUGAUUUAUGGCUACCUCCCAUUCAAUCUACUCUUUAUAUAUUUAAAGAUUUUAUGAAUGUUAAUUUUAUGCAAUGAAAAAAUUAGCAUGCUAUGAAAAAAUAGCGUGGCCAUUAAAAUAUGCUAUUUGUGUGCUAUAUCAUGCUAUAGCAUGCUAUUAGCGAGACAUUGUACACUGAUUUAUUUAGCGAGACAUUGCUUAGAACGAUAUAGCGAGUUAUUUGUUUUCACUGAUUUUAUGACCUCUUAUUAUAUGAUGUUCUUAAUUAAGUUCAUAUUUGUUUGCUGCAUUGCUUCCAUAUAGAUCAAUUAGUAUUUCUUUGUUGGCGUUCAGGAGUAUGCGACUUUCAGUCAGUACUGUUUCUACUUCCCUACUCUCUGUACUUUGUUGUGCUCUGCAACUAAAGGUUGUCAUGCUCUUAUUUCGGUGUAAAACAUAUCCUCUUAUGCUUACUGUUGCUCAGAUUCUUCCGAACUUACGUUAUAUGCAACGUCUCAUUUGUCCUCCAAAAGUUUGUUGUUUACUAACUACUUUGUCUGCUUGAAUAUUUCACGCUACUUAUCUGCAGGCAAACCUGAUUUGCUCUUCACAAUUUGCACGUUCUUGGUUGCUUAGUCUAAGG